rnacentral:rRNA from 1 species
AUUGAACGCUGGCGGCAGGCCUAACACAUGCAAGUCGAACGAGUGGCGGACGGGUGAGUAAUGUCUGGGAAACUGCCUGAUGGAGGGGGAUAAGUACUGGAACCGGUAGCUAAUACCGCAUACCAUCGGAUGUGCCCCGAUGGGAUUAGCUAGUCGGGGGGGUAAAGGCUCACCUAGGCGAAGAUCCCUAGCUGGUCCGCGAGGAUGACCAGCCACACGGGAACUGAGACACGGGCCAGACUCCUACGGGAGGCAGCAGUGGGGAAUAUUGCGCAAGGGGCGAAAGCCUGAUGCAGCCAUGCCGCGUGUAGGAAGAAGGCUUUCGGGUUGUAAAGUACUUUCAGCGGGGAGGCGGUACCCGCAGAAGAAGCACCGGCUAACUCCGUGCCAGCAGCCGCGGUAAUUC